rnacentral:lncRNA from 1 species
CGCCUCCGCUUCGGUCUCGUGGCUUCUGGAGUCUUCUAGAUGUAAGAUAAUUGCGCAGCACGUUAAUAUCUUUACGUAAUCCCGACAUGUGGGCCUUUCUUCCAUAUUUCCUGAUAACUCCCUGCAGAAAUAGAUAAACACCAAAACUCGUGGAAUUCUGUCAGAUAAAACCCUAAGUCUGGAUCUUGUUUUCAUUUGGAUCCUUUUCUUUAUUUAUUUGAUAAUUAAAUUUGAUACUUAAGGACCGUCAACAAGCACCCUGAUAGCAAUUAGGAUGUCCUCCAUCUGCUAGCCUUCUUUGAUCCUUGAAUUCUGUGGAGCUCAAAUAGACAACAAA